rnacentral:tRNA from 1 species
GCCCGAGUGGUGAAAUGGUAGACACAGGGGACUUAAAAUCCCCCGGCUAUUGCAGCCGUGCCGGUUCGAGUCCGGCCUCGGGCA